AUGAGAUCCAAACCCCCAAGACCCAGUCCAACAAUCAACGUGUGGAACCACAUGGGUGACUGGGGCCAUAGGGCUGAUGGAGACAGCGAGCACAGGAUUCACUCUGCCUUGAGAGACAGCAGGAGCAAGAGGGAGCUGGCUUGUAGGUAGCUGCUGCCCAGACCUCUGCACAGUGGUGAAAAGGGACACCAGGAGGAAACACUGGGAGAAAAGAAGGAUGGGAAGAAAAAUAAUCAUGAAAACUGGUGAAAAAAUAGCAUCUUGGUGGAAAACUAAAGCAGUUACUGGAGCAGUCAUCUGCUGGGGCAUGGAAGGCAUGGAGGUGAGGUGGUAUUGGCUUCAAGGCAUGGGGAUAUGGCACUGAAGGAUGCAGUGAGAACCUACAUGGACUUUGAGUUCCAACAGAGCAGCAAUAUACUCAGUGCACCACUUUUGGACCAAAGCAAACAUUUCACUGCUGUGUGACAGCAAGGUGGCAAGCAGCUGCUCCAAUACAUGGCACAGCAGUGGUGCGCACACAUCACCAGCUGUGGCAGCUCCACACCAACAGCGCUCAGCGUGCAGCAUGCUUGGUGAUUCUGCAACCACAAAUAAAUGGAAAGGAGCACAGCUGAGCUCUCAUCUGAAAGAUGAGUCAAAGGCAAACCGCGGGAUCCAGCUUUGAGCACCACCGGUGAGUCAGUGCUGCCAGGAUGCUCCAGGAUCCUCGGCUCCGCACACAGCCGGCAGCGAUGCCCACAGUGGGGUUGGUACCUCCAAGCUGACCUUUGUGAAAACUGAUGCAGACAGAGAGCCGAGGGAACAGCUCAUGUCCUCACCUGCUAUUUUCCAGCCAUUGCACAGCUCCGGAGAAGGAACUUGGUAGCUAGCCCACGAGUGCAUAAGAUGGUUAUGCUGUCACUCGGAAGGACUCAUGUUACUGUAAUUCUUCUGUGUUGAGAAGAGAUGGAAAAUAAAACCCCAUUUUCCUGAAAUGAUCCUCACUCUUCAUACUUGCUCAGUAUCUAUGGCAUGUGGGCACCACACCAGCUCUAAUGGGGUCAAGGAUAGGGACAUUCUGACUCUGGGAGCCUCUCCUUCUGGUAAAACAAUCCCAGCUUGACCUGCUGGCAGCAGGCACAAACACACCAAGCAUCAAAUGGUGGGGGCUAGAGCAUAGGCAGCAGAUGGCUUCUAGCAGCCUGGAUGCACCAGCAGACAACAGAUGUGGUCCCAUCACUUUUCAUUUUCAUUUCUGUCAUAGCUAGAAUUUCUCAAGAAGAACCCAAAGCAUGGAAGCAGCAGUUGGAGGAUCCCAAUGCUGCCUAAACAGAGCACAGCACACACUCCCCUGCAUGCCUCUCCUGAUGAAGUGAGCACUUUCUUGGAAAAAUCAGAUUUCAAGAAAGGUUGCAAGUAGUUGAUUGCAUACAAUCACCUCUCCUCUUUUAGCAUGGAAGCCAAGUAAUAAGUGUGCCAGUUCCAUUUUCAUUUUUCAUCUCC
rnacentral:lncRNA from 1 species